GUCAUCAACAGAGAGUUUUGAUGCCCAUAUUUCUACCAAUCACCUUUGUUUUGUUCAUCAGACAGGAGUAGUCUCCCCUGUUUAAGAUCAAUAAUGGCGAAUAUACAAUGUGGUAUGCUGUCUGGUCAUCAACAGAGAGUUCCCGUAUCUCUACCAAUCACCUCUGUAACCUUUGUUGUGUUCAUCAGACAGUUUUAAGAUUUGGUGACUGCAUGUACUGAGUAGCUAGGGAAUUAAGCUGAAUUCACGUGGGUUUGCUUGACAUUACCAAGGACAAGGCUUUGCGUCUCAAUAUGAGUGAAAAAUUCUCGAAAGGAAUGUUAAACAACAAAUGAAGAAAAAAAAAACAACCAAGGACAAGGACCCUUCAGAAAGCCUGAGUGAAGAAAUUUAAGAGGGACAUCCUUGAGAUCAUAUGGAGUUCUAAGCGAGACACAGUGCAGAUAUCCAAAUCUUCAAAGCUAAUUUAUGUUUUUCAUGUGUUUUUAAAAUCGAAAACAUUUUUAAAAACAUUUUUGUAAUGGGUGUCCGAAUUACGAAAGGGUAUGGGGUUGCCCAAUUCGGACACGUGGGUUUUCUCCGGGUACUCCGGCUUCCUCCCACACUGACCCCAUUUUUUUCUUUUUCUUUUAUGUCAUUGAAAUAACCAUUAGUUAUUGUUAUCAUUAAAUAGAUGAAGUAGUUGAAGGCUAGUUGUAUAAGUAGACCUUUACAAUACCCUGGGGCAAUACUGGUUGGAACUUCAAGUUCCUUGGCCGCUACGGUAGCCAGGCUGGCCCGGGGAGGAGAGGUUGAAAAUGCGACUAGUUGUAGGCUGCCUUGUCUUUUAUGCUCUUUGUUUUUAGUUUAUCUAAAAUUAAACAUUAUAUAUAUAUAUUGCAGAUAAUGAAAAUAUUAAAUUACAGAAGUGUUCCUAGAAUGUAUAUAUGUUAGCUAUUGUAAUAAUAAUUGUUAAGCUGACACUAAAUGUUAAUUUAUUGAAUAAUUGAAAUGUGAAGACUAAUACGCAGUGAGAGUAAUUGAUAAAUUUUGAAGAAAAUGUUAAAUUGUGAUUUGUACAGUAAAUGUUAGAUUUCAAUUUGAAAAUGUUAUACAUGCAUUGUGAUUUGUAAAUGUUAUACUGUGAUUUG